CGGCWGGCUUAACACAUGCAAGUCGAACGCCCCGCAAGGGGAGUGGCAGACGGGUGAGUAACGCGUGGGAACAUACCCUUUCCUGCGGAAUAGCUCCGGGAAACUGGAAUUAAUACCGCAUACGCCCUACGGGGGAAAGAUUUAUCGGGGAAGGAUUGGCCCGCGUUGGAUUAGCUAGUUGGUGGGGUAAAGGCCUACCAAGGCGACCAUCCAUAGCUGGUCUGAGAGGAUGAUCARCCACAUUGGGACUGAGACACGGCCCAAACUCCUACGGGAGGCAGCAGUGGGGGAAUAUUUGACAAUGGGGCCAAGCCUGAUCCANCCAUGCCGCGUGAGUGAUGAARGCCUUAGGGUUGUAACAGCUCUUUCACCGAUGAAGAUAAUGACGGUAGUCGGAGAAGAAGCCCCGGCUAACUUCGUGCCAGCAGCCGCGGUAAUACGAAGGGGGCUAGCGUUGUUCGGAAUUACUGGGCGUAAAGCGCACGUAGGCGGAUAUUUAAAGUCAGGGGUGAAAUCCGCAGCUCAACUGCGGAACUGNCUUUGAUACUGGGUAUCUUGAGUAUGGAAGAGGUAAGUGGAAUUCCGAGUGUAGAGGUGAAAUUCGUAGAUAUUCGGAGGAACACCAGUGGCGAAGGCGGCUUACUGGUCCAUUACUGACGCUGAGGUGCGAAAGCGUGGGGAGCAAACAAGAUUAGAUACCCUGGUAGUCACGCCGUAAACGAUGAAUGUUACCGCCGGCAUAUACUGUUCGGUGG
rnacentral:rRNA from 1 species